UGCUGCUGCAUGUGUCACCGUGAAUCGCUACAUGUUUAGAUUUCGAUCCGAUCAUUGAUACGACUCCUUUAACUCCUUGCACACAGUCACCGUUCGGGGUAUUUGCCCGUUCACAUCAUCUCUACAUCGUUCAAGGAGACAUUCAAAUGUCCAAUCGCCAAACCGGUACCGUUAAGUGGUUCAAUGAUGAAAAAGGCUUCGGCUUCAUCACUCCGCAAUCCGGUGACGACCUCUUCGUACACUUCCGCGCCAUCCAAGGCGACGGUUUCAAGAGCCUGAAAGAAGGCCAGCAAGUUUCCUUCGUCGCUACUCGCGGCCAGAAGGGCAUGCAAGCUGAGGAAGUUCAGGUUAUCUAACCUGAAGCUUCGCUGCUGAAAAAAGCUCCGCCUCGGCGGGGCUUUUUUU
rnacentral:sRNA from 1 species